GCAAACACAAGGCAAAAGCUUGAACAGACUUUUAUUUCCUCAUUUUAUUUUUUUCCUAUGGUUGUAGUGUUCUAGAAAGCAAUGAGUUACACUGAGUGUGACACCAAGCAGGUUGGGCUCAACGUCUGUGUGUGUUGGAAUUGCAUCUGCUUUGAGAUGGGGAAUUGGAAGAAGAGAAAUACUGGAGAACAUAAGCAGAGCCAGGCCUCCUCUGACAACCACCUCAGAUGACAUACGCUCAGUGAUAACUUGGACCAGUUCUAGCACAGACAGCAGCCUUCCCAGAAGCUCCCUUCAUGUCUGAUUCUGUCUUGGAGAACACAGCUGGACAGGAGAAGGUCUCAGCUGCAAAAACCUCAUCCUGUACUAUGGAAAAUCAGAAACUGAGGAUUCAGAAGAUAAACUGUCCAGAUUGUGUGG